rnacentral:rRNA from 1 species
ACGCACGCUGGCGGCGUGCUUAACACAUGCAAGUCGAACGGAAAGGCCCUGCUUUUGUGGGGUGCUCGAGUGGCGAACGGGUGAGUAACACGUGAGUAACCUGCCCUUGACUUUGGGAUAACUUCAGGAAACUGGGGCUAAUACCGGAUAGGAGCUCCUGCUGCAUGGUGGGGGUUGGAAAGUUUCGGCGGUUGGGGAUGGACUCGCGGCUUAUCAGCUUGUUGGUGGGGUAGUGGCUUACCAAGGCUUUGACGGGUAGCCGGCCUGAGAGGGUGACCGGCCACAUUGGGACUGAGAUACGGCCCAGACUCCUACGGGAGGCAACAGUGGGGAAUAUUGCACAAUGGGCGGAAGCCUGAUGCAGCAACGCCGCGUGCGGGAUGACGGCCUUCGGGUUGUAAACCGCUUUCGCCUGUGACGAAGCGUGAGUGACGGUAAUGGGUAAAGAAGCACCGGCUAACUACGUG